AUAGGAUUGGAAAGGAGACAAAGUAGAUCCGGAGGUUAGAGAGGCCACUUUGAGGAGUGUCAACCUGCCCUUAGAUUAGUUGCUUUUCUUCCAACUAGACCACUCUUCCAUUUUUUGUAAUAUGAGGUUCUGAAAUCCCUUGUCACAUAUAGUUGCAUGAUGGAAGCCCAAGAUAUUUAAUCAGAAAGCAUGCAACCUUACAAACGAGGACCUGGACGAACACCUCCAGACCAACACUGUUCAGUUAACUUUAAGGUCGCAGAUAGCUUGAAAACAAAAAAGAGCACAACAGAUGUCAAUUAGAGCUUUUAUCAAGUUCAUAGACAAAAUCAUAUGAUUUGCAAAUGUAAGACGAGAUAUAUGAUCUACUGUUAUGUUCUUGAGACCAGGAUGUUGUCACCGGGCAGUUCACUAGAUAAUUUGCUUCUGGAUCUUGCUUUUUUCCCUUGUUAUGAUUCCUUGAGCGAUCUAUUGUGAAUUAUUUUCAAACUCAUCAAAGGAAUUUUGACACCUUGGAUCUCGUAUAGAGAACUCCGAUCUCUAUAUUGUAAUUAUAAUUUUGCUUACCUCUUUAUUAGUUUUAGAGCCCUUUAAAUAGGAGUAGAUGCUUAAUUAGAAAAAUUUUUUAAUUUAGGUUUCUCAUAAAAAAAAAAUAAAGAAAAUUCCUAAUUAAGAAAUAAGUCUCCAAAAUAAAAAUUAAAUUUCUAAAUAAAAGAUAAAUUUUUCUAACUAAUAAGUUUCCAAAAUAGAAUAAAGUUAAACCAUAUCAGCUCCUUAUUUUCCUUUUCUGUAAUAAGAAUAGCCCACAAAAGAGUUUAUAAUAUCACCCUCCCCUUGAAAAGAAAACUUGUCCUCAAGCUCAAAGUCUGGAUAAGCAGUCUGGAAAUGUUCAUGGGUGUCCCAAGUAGCAUCACUUGCAUCCGCUCUGUUCCAAUACACUAGAAAUUCCCAGGUAUCUCUACUGAGUCGGGUGCGCAAAACUAAAGCUGGAGUGGGGGUAACACGACCAUCUUCCACUGGAGGUAGCGAGGGAAUUGAGGCUGGAGGUCUCUUUCUAUAAGGUUUGAGAAGGGAAACAUGGAAGAUGUUAUGAAGCUUGGACUAAGCUGGUAGUUGAAGCUUGUACGCAACAGUGCCGACACACUGUAGAAUGGAAAAUGGACUAUAAAACUUUGGAAACAGCUUAUGGUGGGGUGCCGAUGAGAUAGAGUGCUGGCGAUAUGGUUGCAGACAGAGCCACAUAAGAUCCUCUACCUCAUAGGUUACAUCCUGAUGCCCCUUGUCAUAGAAUUCCUUCAUACGUGUCUGUGCCUGUUGCAGUUUAGCUGGGAUCUCGGUCAAGACUUGAUCCUUGGUAAGUAAGGCGUCAUCUACUGCAUCAACUUGAGAGGACCUAGGUAUGUA
rnacentral:lncRNA from 1 species